rnacentral:rRNA from 1 species
UCCGCCAGGAUAUUACAAGCAUUAGCUUAAAACCCAAAGGACCUGACGGUGCCUUAGAUCCGCCUAGAGGAGCCUGUCCUAGAACCGAUUACCCUCGUUAAACCUCACCACCCCUAGCAUUUACAGCCUAUAUACCGCCGUCGCCAGCUUACCCUGUGAAGGUAAAGAAGUAAGCAAGAUGGAUCAACACCCAGAACGUCAGGUCGAGGUGUAGCACACGGAGUGGGAAGAGAUGGGCUACAUUUUCUGUCACAGAAUAUAACGAAUGAGUAAUAUGAAAAAUUACCUAAAGGAGGAUUUAGCAGUAAGGGGGGA